rnacentral:tRNA from 1 species
GGGCGAUUAGCUCAGGGGGAGAGCGCUUCCUUGACGCGGAAGAGGCCAGUGGUUCGAAUCCACUAUCGCCCA